GACGAACGCUGGCGGCGUGCCUAAUACAUGCAAGUUGAGCGCUGAAGGUUGGUACUUGUACCGACUGGAUGAGCAGCGAACGGGUGAGUAACGCGUGGGGAAUCCGCCUUUGAGCGGGGGACAACAUUUGGAAACGAAUGCUAAUACCGCAUAAAAACUUUAAACACAAGUUUUAAGUUUGAAAGAUGCAAUUGCAUCACUCAAAGAUGAUCCCGCGUUGUAUUAGCUAGUUGGUGAGGUAAAGGCUCACCAAGGCGAUGAUACAUAGCCGACCUGGGAGGGUGAUCGGCCACAUUGGGACUGAGACACGGCCCAAACUCCUACGGGAGGUAGCAGUAGGGAAUCUUCGGCAAUGGACGAAAGUCUGACCGAGCAACGCCGCGUGAGUGAAGAAGGUUUUCGGAUCGUAAAACUCUGUUGGUAGAGAAGAACGUUGGUGAGAGUGGAAAGCUCAUCAAGUGACGGUAACUACCCAGAAAGGGACGGCUAACUACGUGCCAGCCGCCGCCGUAA
rnacentral:rRNA from 1 species